AAGAAGUUAGCUUAAUGGAAGCAAAUUAAUUAGUUAUACUAAUUAAAAUAAUUAAAUUUAAAAGGUUCAAUUCCUUUACUUCUUU
rnacentral:tRNA from 1 species